AACGCUAGCUACAGGCUUAACACAUGCAAGUCGAGGGGCAGCAUGGUCUUAGCUUGCUAAGGCCGAUGGCGACCGGCGCACGGGUGAGUAACACGUAUCCAACCUGCCGUCUACUCUUGGACAGCCUUCUGAAAGGAAGAUUAAUACAAGAUGGCAUCAUGAGUCCGCAUGUUCGCAUGAUUAAAGGUAUUCCGGUAGACGAUGGGGAUGCGUUCCAUUAGAUAGUAGGCGGGGUAACGGCCCACCUAGUCUUCGAUGGAUAGGGGUUCUGAGAGGAAGGUCCCCCACAUUGGAACUGAGACACGGUCCAAACUCCUACGGGAGGCAGCAGUGAGGAAUAUUGGUCAAUGGGCGAGAGCCUGAACCAGCCAAGUAGCGUGAAGGAUGACUGCCCUAUGGGUUGUAAACUUCUUUUAUAAAGGAAUAAAGUCGGGUAUGGAUACCCGUUUGCAUGUACUUUAUGAAUAAGGAUCGGCUAACUCCGUGCCAGCAGCCGCGGUAAUACGGAGGAUCCGAGCGUUAUCCGGAUUUAUUGGGUUUAAAGGGAGCGUAGAUGGAUGUUUAAGUCAGUUGUGAAAGUUUGCGGCUCAACCGUAAAGUUGCAGUUGAUACUGGAUAUCUUGAGUGCAGUUGAGGCAGGCGGAAUUCGUGGUGUAGCGGUGAAAUGCUUAGAUAUCACGAAGAACUCCGAUUGCGAAGGCAGCCUGCUAAGCUGCAACUGACAUUGAGGCUCGAAAGUGUGGGUAUCAAACAGGAUUAGAUACCCUGGUAGUCCACACGGUAAACGAUGAAUACUCGCUGUUUGCGAUAUACUGCAAGCGGCCAAGCGAAAGCGUUAAGUAUUCCACCUGGGGAGUACGCCGGCAACGGUGAAACUCAAAGGAAUUGACGGGGGCCCGCACAAGCGGAGGAACAUGUGGUUUAAUUCGAUGAUACGCGAGGAACCUUACCCGGGCUUAAAUUGCAGAUGAAUUACGGUGAAAGCCGUAAGCCGCAAGGCAUCUGUGAAGGUGCUGCAUGGUUGUCGUCAGCUCGUGCCGUGAGGUGUCGGCUUAAGUGCCAUAACGAGCGCAACCCUUGUUGUCAGUUACUAACAGGUUCCGCUGAGGACUCUGACAAGACUGCCAUCGUAAGAUGUGAGGAAGGUGGGGAUGACGUCAAAUCAGCACGGCCCUUACGCCCGGGGCUACACACGUGUUACAAUGGGGGGUACAGAGGGCCGCUACCACGCGAGUGGAUGCCAAUCCCCAAAACCUCUCUCAGUUCGGACUGGAGUCUGCAACCCGACUCCACGAAGCUGGAUUCGCUAGUAAUCGCGCAUCAGCCACGGCGCGGUGAAUACGUUCCCGGGCCUUGUACACACCGCCCGUCAAGCCAUGGGAGCCGGGGGUACCUGAAGUGCGUAACCGCGAGGAGCGCCCUAGGGUAAAACUGGUGACUGGGGCUAAG
rnacentral:rRNA from 1 species